rnacentral:rRNA from 1 species
GAAUUUUGGACAAUGGGCGCAAGCCUGAUCCAGCCAUGCCGCGUGCAGGAUGAAGGCCUUCGGGUUGUAAACUGCUUUUGUACGGAACGAAAAGUCUCUUUCUAAUAAAGAGGGACCAUGACGGUACCGUAAGAAUAAGCACCGGAUAACUACGUGCCAGCAGCCGCGGUAAUACGUAGGGUGCAAGCGUUAAUCGGAAUUACUGGGCGUAAAGCGUGCGCAGGCGGUUAUGUAAGACAGUUGUGAAAUCCCCGGGCUCAACCUGGGAACUGCAUCUGUGACUGCAUAGCUAGAGUACGGUAGAGGGGGAUGGAAUUUCGCGUGUAGCAGUGAAAUGCGUAGAUAUGCGGAGGAACACCGAUGGCGAAGGCAAUCCCCUGGACCUGUACUGACGCUCAUGCACGAAAGCGUGGGGGGCAAACAGG